rnacentral:rRNA from 1 species
AUGUGCAAUUAUAUAUGCUUCUGUACUGUACACAAUACGAAAGCCACAAAUACGAGCGCUUACAGGGUGGUGGAGGUUACCGGGCGGCGGGCUGCCCCGAGCUCGAGGCCGUAUAACACCGCUGCCGGUGCCCCGCAGCACGCCGGAGCUCUCGAUUCGCCCCGCGUCGCGGACAUGCUCCGAGCCCGAGCGAACGGCUCGAGGUGGCUGCCGUCGGCGGCCACGGCUGAGAAUGCCACCGGGGCUUGUCGCCGCCGCCCACGUAGUCCUCGUCCUCGGAGUCGGCGCCGUCUUCAGGGGCUGGGGGCGGAGGCUGGUGUGCCGGAUCAGGGCCAUCGGCGUUGA